AACAGUGAAGUGUAGUGGUUUGAGUGUUGGACUAUGAUUCUGGAGACCAGGGUUCAAAUCCCAGCACAGCCA